ACAGGUGCUGCAUGGCUGUCGUCAGCUCGUGUUGUGAAAUGUUGGGUUAAGUCCCGCAACGAGCGCAACCCUUAUCCUUUGUUGCCAGCGGUCCGGCCGGGAACUCAAAGGAGACUGCCAGUGAUAAACUGGAGGAAGGUGGGGAUGACGUCAAGUCAUCAUGGCCCUUACGACCAGGGCUACACACGUGCUACAAUGGCGCAUACAAAGAGAAGCGACCUCGCGAGAGCAAGCGGACCUCAUAAAGUGCGUCGUAGUCCGGAUUGGAGUCUGCAACUCGACUCCAUGAAGUCGGAAUCGCUAGUAAUCGUGGAUCAGAAUGCCACGGUGAAUACGUUCCCGGGCCUUGUACACACCGCCCGUCACACCAUGGGAGUGGGUUGCAAAAGAAGU
rnacentral:rRNA from 1 species